CAUGUGGUCAAUUGGAGAAGGAAACAAAUCUUAUCGAGGGAGUUUCAUGGUUAGAUUGUGGCUACCGUGAAAUGCAGUUUACUUUUUACAGGUUUGGUAUCCAUCUCUGAGUGUUGACCCUUUAAAGUAGGGUGAUUUCUUGUAGGUGGAGAAUCAGGAAGGAGUCGGAAACUUUGAUGAUAUCCUUGCAAAUUCAUAUGCAUUCAUGGUGGCACGAGGUGAUCUUUGAAUGGAAAUUCCAAUAGAAGAGAUCUUUUUGGCUCAGAAAGUGAUGAUCUAUAAGUGCAACAUCUAAGGAAAACAUGUUGUCACGACAAUAUACAGAUGUUGGAACUAGUAGUUGUUAAAUAUGUCGAUGAAUUAUACACGUUCUACAAACUUGAAGAGGGAUAACUACCGAGUUGGAGAUUACUUGGACAUUGAUCAAGUCUGGGUUGAAUGGGCAAGCAUGCUGUCAAGUUUAGUGAGUGUUGUAUGUCUGUGGUAGAUCAGUAGUUAGGAAUCAUUUUGUGCAUAUAGCUAGAACUCACUUUGGUGGCUGUAAUGAUUCAUGAUGAUAUUCAAAUAAAUAGACCAAUUUUUCUAAAA